rnacentral:rRNA from 1 species
AGAACGAACGCUGGCGGCGUGGAUAAGACAUGCAAGUCGAACGCGACUUAUUUUGUUAGCAAUAACAGAGUAAGUUGAGUGGCGAAAGGGUGCGUAACACGUGGGAAUUUACCAAGAAGUGGGGAAUAGCUCGACGAAAGUCGAAUUAAUACCGCAUGUGAUCGAAAGAUCAAAGUCGGGGACCGCAAGGCCUGACGCUUUUUGAGAAGCCCGCGGCCCAUCAGCUAGUUGGUGAGGUAAUGGCUCACCAAGGCUAUGACGGGUAGCUGGUCUGAGAGGACGACCAGCCACACUGGAACUGAGACACGGUCCAGACACCUACGGGUGGCAGCAGUCGAGAAUUUUUUCACAAUGGACGAAAGUCUGAUGGAGCGACGCCGCGUGGAGGAUGAAGGUUCUUGGAUUGUAAACUCCUGUCACUGCAGAACAAGGGUGCGCUCGUUAAUAGCAAGCGCAUUGAUGGUAUGCGGAGGAGGGAAGGGACGGCUAACUC